rnacentral:lncRNA from 1 species
CUCCAAAUCAACUGUUUUAUAUGCUGAAUUUAAUAUCAUUACCAAUGAUUACAAUUUAAUCAAUAUAUACUAAAAUAAAAAACAGAAUAGUUUCCACGUCGACGAGUAAAAAGGGACUGCCUGGGAUUGAAGAAAACCAGCAUCCAGUAAAGCAGAAGAAAAUUUUGCAAACCCAUUUCGGGACGCUUGUUUAAGUCCAUAAAGGGACUGAUUCAGGCGGCAAACUGAGUUCUCCCCCUGUGGAGAAUAUCCGUGAGGGAGAGACAUGUAUACUUCCUUUUUUGGAACAUGUUAAGGCUUUACGCUCUAACUCACUGUAACAACUCUAGGUGGCUGAAUUUAAUAUCAUUACCAAUGAUUAAACUUUAAUCAAUAUAUACAAAAAUAAAAAACAGAAUAGUUUCCACGUCGACGAGUAAAAAGGGACUGCCUGGGAUUGAAGAAAACCAGCAUCCAGUAAAGCAGAAGAAAAUUUUGCAAACCCAUUUCGGGACGCUUGUUUAAGUCCAUAAAGGGACUGAUUCAGGCGGCAAACUGAGUUCUCCCCCUGUGGAGAAUAUCCGUGAGGGAGAGACAUGUAUACUUCCUUUUUUGGAACAUGUUAAGGCUUUACGCUCUAACUCACUGUAACAACUCUAGGUGUCGUCGCGCCUAAGUUAUCAUUCUUUUUC